rnacentral:lncRNA from 1 species
GGGAUAAGAUUCAGAUAUAGAAAUCAAAUAGAGAAAAUAAAUUUAAAAUAUACUUGGAUAUGGAUCAAUCUUCAAUGUGAACAAAUGAUCAUGGAUGUCUUCCGAAGGUCCCUUCUAGCCGACAAGCAUCCGACCUCUACGGGUAUCCACACGAGACUCUGAUCUGAUCAAAAAUUUUUUGAUCUCACCGAGGUACUAGCUCCCUUACAG